rnacentral:rRNA from 1 species
UACGGAGGGUGCGAGCGUUGUUCGGAAUUACUGGGCGUAAAGGGCGCGUAGGCGGCACAGCAAGUCGGGAGUGAAAGCCCGGGGCUCAACCGUGGAACGGCCUCGGAUACGGGCGGCCUGGAGGCGGGUAGGGGCAGGCGGAACUGUGGGUGGAGCGGUGAAAUGCGUUGAGAUCCACAGGAACUCCGGUGGCGAAGGCGGCCUGCUGGACCCGAACUGACGCUGAGGCGCGAAAGCCAGGGGAGCGAACGGG